UACGUAGGUGGCAAGCGUUAUUCGGAAUUAUUGGGCGUAAAGCGCGCGUAGGCGGUUUUUUAAGUCUGAUGUGAAAGCCCACGGCUCAACCGUGGAGGGUCAUUGGAAACUGGAAAACUUGAGUGCAGAAGAGGAAAGUGGAAUUCCAUGUGUAGCGGUGAAAUGCGCAGAGAUAUGGAGGAACACCAGUGGCGAAGGCGGCUUUCUGGUCUGUAACUGACGCUGAUGUGCGAAAGCGUGGGGAUCAAACAGG
rnacentral:rRNA from 1 species